AACUCUUAGCGGGAUCACUCGGCUCGUGCGUCGAUGAAGAACGCAGCUAGCUGCGAGAACUAAUGUGAAUUGCAGACACAUUGAUCAUCGACACUUCGAACGCACCCGGCCCCGGUUCCUCCCGGGCUACGCCUGUCUGAGGUCG
rnacentral:rRNA from 1 species